UCCUGGUCCAUUCGCCAUUUAUUAACUUUAUUAAUUAUUUUCCUGACAGACGCGCUUACACACGGCUCUCAGCUGGCUCACACAGCUGGCUAUUCCUACAGAAGCGGUUCACGCCAGGAUGCCGCCUGCGGGCGCCACGGCAGCGCCCCUUUCACCCAGGAACAAAGCAGGUCCCGACAGGGAACGAGCCCGGCUCGCAGGUCCCGACAGGGAACGAGCCUCUUCUCUCUCACCAGUUCAAAAUAAA